AUUGAACGCUGGCGGCAGGCCUAACACAUGCAAGUCGAGCGGAUGAAGGGAGCUUUCUCCUGGAUUUAGAGGCGGACGGGUGAGUAAUGCCUAGGAAUAUGCCUGGCAGUGGGGGAUAACGUCCGGAAACGGGCGCUAAUACUGCAUACGUCCUGCGGGUGCAAGAGGGGGGUCUUUGGAACUCAUGCUAUCAGAUGAGCCUAGGUCGGAUUAGUUAGCUGGUGGGGUAAAGGCUUACCAAGGCGACGAUUCGUAACUGGUCUGAGAGGAUGAUCAGUCACACUGGAACGUGGACAGGAUCCAGGCGACUACGAGAGGCAGCAGUGGGGAAUAGUGGGCAGUGGUCGAAAGCCUUGUCCAGCCAGGCCACGUGUGAUGAGGAGGUCUUCGGAGUGUAAAGCACGUUAAGGUGGGAGGAAGGGCAUUAAGUUAAUACCUUGCUGUUUUGACGGUACCGGCAAAAGAAGCACCGGCUAACUUCGUG
rnacentral:rRNA from 1 species